rnacentral:tRNA from 1 species
UCCCAGGUGGCUCAGUGGUAAAGAAUCUGCCUGCCAAGCAGGAGACACAGGUUCGAUCCCUGGGUCGGGAA